CAAAUAUGGCGUUAUAUUAGUGCCAAAUCUCGAGAGCUCAGUGAAACAUCUUCACGAGCAAAUAAUAUUAAUUCACACGCGCAGACACAGCAGCGAGAGAGGAAAAAACAGCAGCGAGAGAGGAAAAAACAGCAGCGAGAGAGGAAAAAACAGCAGCGAGAGAGGAACAAACAGCUGCGAGUGCACAUAACAACCACUGGGGGGCAUACGCGCUCUCGAAAGUGAGUUCUGCUCCUGUGCUUUUGUUCUGCUCGCUCGGAAUGGUGUUUUGCUCGCUCGCGUUAGUCGACCUCCAAUUUUGACAGGUUGUGGGAGGGAACAAACGCUGACCCUCUUGUGAUUGGUCAUUUCCCACACGGAAGCCCAGGAAGGGAUGGGCCUUGGUCUUGGUCUUGACUCUUGACCAUAGAAAGCCAGGGAAGAAGAGACCUUGACCAAGACAAGACGGUUUAUGAGCCACAACUUGAAGGUAACGUCAGAAAAUGGGGGACCAAAAUGAGGACAAUUUACACAAGAUGGCCAACAAUAUAGUGGCCAUGUUAAUGACCACCUUGGGCGGU